rnacentral:pre_miRNA from 10 species
UCUGCACCCAGAACCUGAUUUCCUCUGGUGGUUUAGGUGUUGCUAAUUACAGUCUAGCACCAUAUGAAAUCAGUGUUCUUGG